UAAAGCCAGUCUCAGUUCGGAUCGUAGUCUGCAAUUCGACUACGUGAAGUCGGAGUCGCUAGUAAUCGCAGAUCAGCAACGCUGCGGUGAAUACGUUCCCGGGCCUUGUACACACCGCCCGUCAAGUCACGAAAGUCGGUAACACCCGAAGCCGGUGUCCCAACCCUUGUGGAGGGGGCCGUCUAAGGUGGGACUGGUGAUUGGGACUAAGUCGUAACAA
rnacentral:rRNA from 1 species